UACGUAGGGUGCGAGCGUUAAUCGGAAUUACUGGGCGUAAAGCGUGCGCAGGCGGUUUGCUGUGUCCGAUGUGAAAGCCCCGGGCUCAACCUGGGAAUGGCAUGGGAAACUGGCGGGCUGGAGUGUGGCAGAGGGGGGUGGAAUUCCGCGUGUAGCAGUGAAAUGCGUAGAGAUGCGGAGGAACACCGAUGGCGAAGGCAGCCACCUGGGCCAACACUGACGCUCAGGCACGAAAGCGUGGGGAGCAAACAGG
rnacentral:rRNA from 1 species